rnacentral:rRNA from 1 species
UACGGAGGGUGCAAGCGUUAUCCGGAUUUACUGGGUUUAAAGGGUGCGUAGGCGGGCAGGUAAGUCCGUGGUGAAAUCUCUGAGCUUAACUCAGAAACUGCCAUGGAUACUAUUUGUCUUGAAUAUUGUGGAGGUGAGCGGAAUAUGUCAUGUAGCGGUGAAAUGCUUAGAUAUGACAUAGAGCACCAAUUGCGAAGGCAGCUCACUACACAAUUAUUGACGCUGAGGCACGAAAGCGUGGGGAUCAAACAGG